UUAGGCUCAUCUACAAUAGCUAAUAAUAGCUAGUAAAAAUAAGGCUGUAACGUAAGCUGUCAGUGGAUGAAAAUAUUUCAUUUCGUGUCUUGCAACCUUACAGUCUUACUCUUACAGCUAAUGUAGACGAGCCUUAAGGCUAUCAUACAUAAAAUUCCGUAAGAACGUAAGACGUAAACGUAAGGAAAUCGACCAAUCCCAAUAUAAUAUUCUCUCCAUAACCCCUCCACUUUUGUCCGUAAAACGUAAAACGUAACGUCGAAAAAUUCAGUAAGGAUGAAAUUUUUACGGCUACGUCUUGUGAACAACCAAUCACAAAUGAUUACAUAUUAUACGCUUUAGCUUGAAAUUUGCGAAGCUAGUAAAGUUAGAUGUAUGAUACGUAGCAUUUGUCGCAGUGAGAUAAGUGAGAUGAAAUGAGUGAUCAUAAUCAAUAUUAUAAUAUGUUUAAUAACUCGGAAAAUGAUGAAUUCCUUGAAAAUGAGGAUGGUAAAGAAAAUGAUGAACUGCUUAUUGAUGCGGUAAGAACAUACUCACAUUUUUAUAACCAUCAAAAUCGUAAUUUUAAAGACCAUUUGAUGAAAGAAAAUUCGUGGAAAGAAAUAGCCUUAGCAGUAAACAGUUCAGUUUCGGAUUGUCAAAACCAUUGGAUAAGACUCUGUGAAAGAUUCGGUAAAGAAAAACAGCAAAGGGAGUUGGAUUCAAAGAAUGGCGGUUAAUCAGCGGAGUUAAUUAGCGAAGUGGUUUUACAUAUUAUGAAAAUAUGUCAUUUCUAAAUGACCACAUCAAAAAAAGGAAGUCUUAUACGAAUGUUUCAAGUGUGAAACGUAUAAAGACAAUGGAUGGAUGGAAUAAGAGAGUCAACACCUUCUCUAACACUCAAAAGUUUGCAAGCUGCGCCAGUGUCGCGACAACCACCAUAUAAGAAAAAAGAUAACUCGGGUGCAUUGGAGAGUUCUCUAAUUUUACUUUGCCAAACUACCCAGUCGAUACAAUUUGUUACUGCUAUAUAAUUUGGAAAUAACAAGUUAUAUAACGAAUAUAUUAUAAUAAUUAUACAACAUUUAUGUAAUUUCUCUGUCUUUUUGUAUAAUAUAUAACUACCAC